rnacentral:rRNA from 1 species
UACGUAGGUGGCAAGCGUUUGUCCGGAUUUAUUGGGUUUAAAGGGUGCGUAGGCGGUCUAUUAAGUCAGUGCUGAAAUACUCCAGCUUAACUGGAGGGGUGGCAUUGAUACUGAUGGACUUGAGUACAGAUGAGGUAGGCGGAAUUGACGGUGUAGCGGUGAAAUGCAUAGAUAUCGUCAAGAACACCGAUAGCGAAGGCAGCUUACUGGGCUGUAACUGACGCUGAUGCACGAAAGUGUGGGGAUCAAACAGG